GGAGGUGUAGCUCAAGUGGUAGAGUGAAUGCAUAGCAUACACGAGGUCCUGGGUUUAAUCCCCAGUACCUCCU
rnacentral:tRNA from 1 species